rfam:Nematostella vectensis strain CH2 x CH6 NEMVEscaffold_423_Cont26835, whole genome shotgun sequence.
GCCGUGAUCGUAUAGUGGUUAAUACAUUGCGUUGUGGCCGCAAUAACCCAGGUUCGAGUCCUGGUCACGGCA